AAGGCGGAAGCGGAGGCGGAGACGGAGACGAAGGCGGAAGCGGAGACGAAGGCGGAAGCGGAGGCGGAGACGGAGGCGGAGGCGGAGACGAAGGCGGAAGCGGAGGCGGAGACGAAGGCGGAAGCGGAGGCGGAGACGAAGGCGGAAGCGGAGGCGGAGACGAAGGCGGAAGCGGAGGCGGAGACGAAGGCGGAAGCGGAGGCGGAGGAGGCGGCGUAGGAGGAGGCGAAGACGGAAGCGGAGGCGGAGG
rnacentral:lncRNA from 1 species